rnacentral:rRNA from 1 species
UACGUAGGGUGCGAGCGUUGUCCGGAAUUAUUGGGCGUAAAGAGCUCGUAGGCGGUCUGUCGCGUCGGUCGUGAAAACUUGGGGCUUAACCCUGAGCUUGCGGUCGAUACGGGCAUGACUGGAGUUCGGCAGGGGAGACUGGAAUUCCUGGUGUAGCGGUGAAAUGCGCAGAUAUCAGGAGGAACACCAGUGGCGAAGGCGGCUCACUGGUCCGGUACUGACGCUGAGGUGCGAAAGCGUGGGGAGCAAACAGG